rnacentral:pre_miRNA from 1 species
GUGUGUGGAUAGUGUUCAGCACCAAGGACAUUCAUAUUUACCUGUGUGUGGAUAGUGUUCAGCACCAAGGACAGACAUGUUUACCU